GAAGCAGUCCAGAUCCUGGGAGGAAACCCAGAAGGGAGGUUAUGCCAGGGCCCUCACCCACCCCGGUCCUCCAGCCUGUCCCCCAGCUCUGGAAGGCAGCGUGGGAGCUUCACUGCAGGGAAGGAGGGCAUUUGGGAGAGGGAAGCUGGCCUGCCAGGAGGACCGGGCGGAGGGCCAUGGCUCCCUCCUCCACCUUCCUCACACGGGCAGAACUUACACUGUCCUCGCAGCUCUGUGUGCACGGCCCAUCCACAGUGCUGCACUGGAAGGAAGAGGAGAGACUGAAUGUGGACACUGCAUGUGUAGUAGAAAUGGCACGUGAUCUUCCCUGCUUUAUAAGGAGGCUCUUUUCCAGCUCAAAGCCAGGUUCGGGUUUGCCCAGGGCUGCAGCUGCAAGAUGAGUCACGGUUCUACUUCCCCUGGAAGGGCAGAAGUUGCAUAAGAUUGUUGAGGCUCAAGCGAGAUAAUGUGUGAGGCUGUUACUCCAGACUAGAGCCUUGAUUUUUAAACUUCAGCGUGCAUCAGAAUCGCCUGGAAGGUUUGUUAGAACCCCGCCCCCAGAGUUUCUCCUUCAGGGGGUCCAGGGUGGGCCUGAGAGUUUCUGAAGUGUUCCCAGGGGUUGCCGAUGCUGCUAGUCCAGGCACUAUAUUUAGGGAACCCCCGUCCUAAAGCCUCACCAAUUGAAUCUCCUAAGAUGAUGAAGAUGGCCUACAUCUGUGCUGUCCUAAACGGUAGCCAACAGCCACACGUGGCUACUGAGAACUCGGAGUGUGGCUAGCACGCCUGAGGACCCGAAUUUAAAAAACAGUUAAUUUUAAUUAACUUAAAUUUAAAUAGCCACGUAUGGUUGGUGGCCAGCGUUUUGGACAGUGUUGUUCUAGAGCUCAUCUGAGUUUGCAGAUGAAGAAACCGAGGCUUUGAGAGGUACCUCCCCUCCCUUGGAGUCUCAUGGCAAUCCUGGGGUGGUGCUCCGGCUGGCUGGCCUUCUUGAACAGGUCCUGUGAUAUGGGAACAUUUGAGUGCUUUGGGGGUGUCUUUGUUGCUUUGAGUUCCAGGUAGCUGAAAGGAGUGGGCUGGAAGGGGACGGGGAGACCCAUUUGCUGGCUCAUGACAAAGAUGAGAGCUGCAGACACAGCGCACAGCGGCAGCUUCAGGGGCCUUGCUGACCUCCUUCCUCUCCAUUUUGCUGUGCCCUCUCACUGUCCCUGAACUUGAGAUCCUGGAGGUUUAGCUGUGCUCUGGGUCCCUUGAAGACUUCGGAGGCAAUCCACUAAGAAAUGGGGAUUUAAGUGAGACAUGAAGAAGAACUUCCUUAUGGCAAGAACUAUAAGAUGUUGAAGACAAGACACAGUAUUGGGAGUAAAGGCGGUGAGGCACGGAAAUAUAUUUACCAACACCCAGGGAACCGAGUCUUCUCCCCCAGGAUCCCUGCUCUGCUCGUUCAGGUGAGUGGUUACUUGCGGGGAGGACUGCCCUUCCUCCCAUCAUCUCCUGCUAGCCAGCUGUGUGCAGGAGACAACACCUUAUGAUAUUAUGUUUGCAGACAAGCUCACACCUUUCGGUGAAGAGAAAUUCAGGCAAAGGGCCCGAGGGAAUGCAAAGCACUCGGCUUUUCCUGUUGCUUUCCUGGGAGUUAUCAGGAAAGCUUCCCUCAUGCCUGUGCAUGGUGGGCCCCUGUUUUAGACCCUGACCUUCGUCCCCAGGAGGGCCUGUCAUGACCUGAAAGAGGAGGACAAAUCUCAGACCCCUUCCUGCCCCAGCGGGCCUCCUGCCCCAGCUGACCUGGGUCCCUUCCCUCCCUCCUGUCCUCCCUCUCUGGGCUGUCCCUUGCCUUCCCUCUCUGCCCUGCCUCUCCACAUUGAUCUCGUGCCUUCCUCCCAAGCAGCUUUCCUGUAAGAUCGCAGCUCAGCUCCGCUGGCAGACAACCUAACAAAGAGCCUCAAUAAGGCCAGACCCGCAGGCGGCUUAUCAAGAUGUACGUCUUUGCUGUGCACACAGACUGUCACCUCGGUGCUGCUGUGUCAUCACAGAAGGCAAAACCAAACAACUGUGCAUGCACACACACAUACAUGCACACACAUGGACACACACAUAUAUGCACACACGGACACACAUGCAUGCACACACACUUGCACACACAUACCCAUGCACGCACACAUGGACACACAGGCAUACGCACACACUUGCACACACAUGCAUAUACACGUGCACCAUGCACAUGCACACAUACGUACACACACAUGCACAUACAUAGCAUGCACAUGAACAUAUGAGUUUGCACACUGUUGAGUGCUGUGGUCCCAGGAGUCAGAAGCUCCAGCUUUGCCCUCCUAGCCCUUUAUCUGCUUCUCUUUCCUCCUCCUCUGUCUUGAGAACCUAACCAGGAGACUGCGUGUUGCACGGGAUAGGGACUGUGGGGCAUGAGAGGGAUCAUCUUUUGUAACACAAGCUGAGGACCCGACAGGUGCACAGCGAAUACUUAGGUCACAGAAGGCCAGUGCCAGAAGGGAGACCAGAGAUCUCAACCCAUCUCCUCAUUCUGCAGGGCAGGAAUCCCAGCCAGCACAAGGCCCAGGGCUGCUGAGUGAACUCACUAGCUAGCUAGUCACUGAGCAACAGAGUCUGGAGUCUGGGUCCCCUGAUGCCCAGUCUUGAGCUCUUUCAUGUCCUCCAUUCCUCACUCAGUUGACACGAAGGCACUGGGGCCUGAAGGACACGGAACAGGUGAGGCCAGUCCCCCUGCUUGAACAGCUCUGUGUAGGAAAGGAGAUGACUCCCUCUCCCCUCUCCCCUCUCCCCACGGUCUCCCUCUCCCUCUCUUUCCCCGGUCUCCCUCUGAUGCCGAGCCGAAGCUGGACUGUACUGCUGCCAUCUCGGCUCACUGCAACCUCCCUGCCUGAUUCUCCUGCCUCAGCCUGCCAAGUGCCUGCGAUUGCAGGCGUGCGCCGCCACGCCUGACUGGUUUUCAUAUUUUUUUGGUGGAGACGGGGUUUCGCUGUGUUGGCCGGGCUGGUCUCCAGCUCCUAACCGCGAGUGAUCCGCCA
rnacentral:lncRNA from 1 species